CUUUGCUGGCUGUCUACACUAUUUUACAAGUAUUAUUAUUUUAUUAUAGCCUGACAACUAGAUUUCUUUGGAGAAGCCUAGAAGUGGUGCAGCUGAAUUUUGCUAGAAAAUUCUGGAGAAGGGAGAGAGAGUGGCGGUGCUCUCUUCCACAUCAACCAGUUUCAGUCCAACAGGCGAGGCCAUUCCCGGUCAGGUAGCUGGUCCGGUGGAAGGAGAUGGCCUCUUGGAUCCCAAACCGCUCCGGCGAUCCUGACGAAGAAGAAGUGUCACUGAGCUCCUUUGAUGAGGACGACUCCACCGUUUUAACCGAGGGCGCUACCGCUAGUACCAGGAUGCCCUGGGACGAUCUAGACAAAAACGAAGUGUUACUGAGCUCCUCUUUCGAGGACCGUGCAUGGACAGCCGCGUUCAUGGACGACGAGGAGCUCAGGAAGGCCGUAGAGAUGAUCAUGCCGGCGAAUUUCGGAGCCGCCGUCGGAGCGUCCGGCCGUCCGUACAGAUACGACGUGUUCCUGAGCUUCCGUGGCGUGGACACGCACAGCGACUUCGCUGGCCACCUCCAUGCGGCGCUGGACCAGCGAGGGACUGACACGUUCGUGGAUGACGAGGAGCUCCGGAAGGGCGAGGAGAUCACGUCGGCGAUCCACAGAGCCAUCGGGGAAUCAAGGAUCUCGAUCGUCCUGUUCUCAGAGGACCACUUGUCCUCUGGCUGGUGCUUGUACGAACUGGUGAGAAUCGUGUAGUGCAGGGAUACGAUGAGGCAGAUCGUGUGGCCGGUGUUCUGCAAGGUGGAUCCUUCGGAGGUGAGGAGACAGAGGGGGAGGAACGGACGAGCCCUAAAUCAAGCACGAGGAGAGGUUGAAGUCGAACGGCGGCGAUUUGGAGAAGGUGAAGAGGUGGAGAGAAGCACUGACUACAGCAGCGAACAUCUCUGGCUGGCAUUUGGUUGAACGGUAUCUGAUUAAUUGCUAGAAACUGAAUAAUAAUCUGGUCCUUAGUAUUUGAGAAAUUGACUGCUGCUCGAUCUUAUUGGAGAUCAACUUAGGACUCAUUGUAUCAAGCAUCUUUGAAUCUCCUAAAGUAUUCUCAAUUGGCUCUAUGCUUUGAAUCCACCAGGCGGGAGUCUAAUGUCAUUCACAGCAUUGUCAAGAGUAUAUGGACUGAGCUGAAUCGCGAUCAAUUACCUGUCCCUGAAAACGUGGAUGCCAUGGAUUCACAUGUGUCCCAUAUGCAUACUUUGCUAGACAUGGAAUCAAACGAGGUUUGCAUGGUCGGAAUUUGUGGAUAUGGAGGAGUAGGGAAGACUACUAUCGCCAAAGCUACUUAUAAUGCUUUUUCACACAAAUUUGAGUGUUGCAGCUUUCUUUUCAAUGUUAGAGAAACUUGGGAAAAAUCUGCAGAUGGCCUACUUCAGCUUCAAGAGACACUUAUUUCUUGGGAAACGUGGGAUGAUUAUCUGAAGCUUGGCAAUGUCCACAGAGGUACAAGCAUGCUAAAGAGUAGGUCCACAUUUUCAUUGACGAUGUGAACCAGUUGAUCCAAUUGGAAACACUGGUUGGAGGACAUUAUUGGUUUGGUUGUCGGAAGUAGAAUCAUCAUAACGACUAGAAAUGAACAUUUAUUGGUUGCUCAUGGCGUACACAGCAUAUAAAAGGUUCAACCAUUAGAUCUUUUAAUGGCUUGUAUGCUCUCCAAUUCAAUUGCUUUCGAGGAUAUUUCUCCUCCUCCUGAUUAUGAAGAGUUUUCAUAUAGCGUAGUGCUUUACACCAAGAGUCUUCCAUUAGCUAUUAAAGUUUUAGGUUCUUUUCUUCGAGGUAAAAGCUAUUUCCAAUGGAAAAACACAUUAGAUGAAUUGAAGAGAGUUUUCAAUGGAGAAAUCUUCAGUGUGUUGAGAAUGAGCUUUGAUGGUUUAGAUGAUUAUGAGAGGGAUAUUUUUCUUGACAUAGCAUGUUUCUUCAAGGGAGAGAGUAUAAGUCAUACGAGAGAUUUUGGAGAGCUGUGAUCUCCAUCCGGAUGGCGGAAUUGAUGUUCUUAUAGAUAAGUCACUUAUCACUAUUGAGCAUGGCAAGCUGGAGAUGCAUGAUAUGAUUCAAGAAAUGGGAAGAGAAAUUGUGCAGAGGGAAUCUCCUAGAAAGCCAGGGGAGCGCAGUAGAUUGUGGUUCUGUAAUGACGUGCUUCAUGUUCUAACAGAUGGCACGGUAAUACAUUGAAUCAUGAUCUUUUGUUUUUGACAAUAUGAAUGCAUGUUUGGUAGGGUUACAGCCUCUUACAAAGUACUUUUGGCCUUCUAUUAGAAAAGAGCGUGAAUGUUUUUCUGCUGCGUAAAGAUAAUGGCGCGAUGGUUCCAUAAGAUUUACUUUUUCCAUAUCCCACCGUGAGAUGUAAGGUUUGUACUAUUGACCUCUCCCCAUAAAGUACCGUUGGAUUUUUGCAGAAGCGUGUGGGUGUGUAAGUGUGGCAAGGGAGCUAAGGAAUGAAGUGAAAAAUGAAUGACAGAACAAACUAAAUUUUAUUCAAGGACUUCUGUGGUUACAAAAGAUACUAGGAUUGGGAUUGGGAUGAAGAGAAGAUUGAGAAGAAGUGUUGACUUCAUCUUAUUCAUUGAUGACUACACUCGAAUGACGUGGAUCUACUUUCUUCGAGAAAGAUCGGAGGUUUUCUCUAUUUUCAAGAACUUCAAGAAUCGCAUCGAAAAUGCCACUUGGAAUUGGGAUGAAGAGAAGAUCGAGAAGAAGUAUGUCAACCUACCAGACAUAUCUCCUGCACGUGAGGAAUCAACACCACAAGAAAAAAGUCAAAAUUUUUAACAUGGUAUCAGAGCUACAUAAAUUUCUUCUUGAAGAUAUCCAUUUAGGAAUGCUGACUUUACAUCUAGUUGAUGGAUCUUCCAUUCUUUUUGUGUUGCUAGAGCUAUGAGUGCCCGAAUGGUAUCAAGGCGAGCAACAGGAGCGAAAGUUUCAAUAUAGUCAAUACUGUUAAUACCUAGUUGUUGUAAGUAUGCUUUUGCUCCUGUUGCUCGCCUUGAUACCAUCCAGGUACUCAUAGCUCUAGCAGCACAAAAAGAAUGAAAGAUUCAUCAACUAGAUAUAAAGUCAGCAUUUCUAAAUGGAUAUCUUCAAGAAGAAAUUUAUGUAGCUCUAAUACCAUAUUAAAAAUUUUGACUUUUUUCACCGCCAUACAGCUGUAAGACAACUCAUUUUCUUAUUCUCCAAGUACUCUUGCUGCCCACGUACUCUUGAUCCUUCUUUCUUCAUGGUUAAGCAGCCAUUGUUGACUUAUUUUCAACAUUUCUCAUGCACGUAGACUUCUCUAGUUUGUUGACUUUAGUUUACUUCAUUAACUUGACUUCUUGCUACCCACAUAGUCUUGCUGCCCACGUGGUACCAGAAACUUCUCCAAUGUGUGAGUCUUCACUUUUGACUUGACUUGCCUUUUCUUGCAUUUCACAUUCAUUGUUGCCGACUUGUUCCUUCGCCGUUAAGUUAGUAGUUUCUAGAUAGUUUUAGAAAAAAUGGAUCACAAUUUCCAACACUCCCCCUUGAUCCAUUUUCGGGAUACUCCGAACUUGUGUUAUGAAGCCUCGGACGUACCUUGAAAUUUCUCUUGUAGUUUGUCCCAUGUCUUUUAUGCCGUCUUCGUUCCACGAUCCCUUGCAUUCUAUGAUCCCUUGCAUUCUCUUGUCAGAACACUUGCACCUACCUUUGAACGUGCAUGACUUUUCUUCAAUGAUGGCCCAAGACAUCAAAAUGCUCUUAGUUGUAGUUGUUAGCUCGGGCUCUAGCUCUAGCUCUGGUUUUGAUUUUGGCUCUAGCUCCGGCUUUGGCUCUCGCUCGGGCUAUGGUCUUUUAUUCUAGCUCUGGCUCCAGCUCCGGCUCUCUUGGCUCUCGCUCGGGCUCUGGCCUUUUUAGUUGAGGAUGGUGAGGACAAACGCCCAAAACAUCCGAAUAUGCCUAGCUCUGGAUUCAUGGUGGCUCAGUUACGGACCUGGGCGCAUCUAGCUUUGAUACUAUGUUAAAAAAUUUGGAUGUGUGCAUGCAGAAGCAUGUUUUUGGUAUUGAUGAUAGUUUUUUAUUAGUGAUAUGUGCAAGUGUAUGAUAUGGUUUAUAGUGGAUAGACAAGGGACAAGAUAGAAUAAUCGAAGGAUAUAGAACAUGGGAUAUAGGAAGUAGUUUCAUGAGUUGAAUAAACUAAUUUGAUGGAGGUAUGGUGGAGGUCUAAGACUUCUCACAGUGGAGGGCUCACCACACACAAGGUGGAGGGUUCACCUCACACACUCAAAUGGUCAAUUACAAGCCUAUUUAUAGGCGUGAGUUACCGCCUUACUCUACCGACUUUGAGUACAAAAAUUAAUACAAAAUUUCAGCUUACUUCUUUGUCUCUUGCUUGUUGUAGCUAGUCAAAGUACAAGUUGGACUUUGCUUUCCUUUUCUUCUUUCUUUCAGAUCUUCUCGUUGCGUCUUCCUUAUUCUCCAUUUUUCUAUUCUCUGUGGCUCCUUUUGUUGACUUUGGUUUACUUCUUUAACUUAACUUCUUGCUGCCCACGUAGUCUUGCUGCCCAUGUAGUACCAAGAACUUCUCCAACAUAUGAGAGUCUUCACUUUUGACUUAACUUGCCUUUUCUUGCAUUGUUGCCGACUUAUUCCUUCUCCAUUAAGUUAGUAGUUUCUAGAUAGUUUUAGAGAAAAUGGAUCACAAUUUCAAACAAAUAAAUUAUGACAAAAUCUGCAGAACUUAAAUACUGUGGUUUUUUUAAGAAUUGAGGUGUUUAUAAAACUCAUGUGUCAAAUGCUAAAGUAAAAGAAAAUUCUGAAAGCUAAGAACAAAAGGCACCCGAGGCACAAGCACACCAAAUCUAUUUAUUACUAGUAAUCCCUGCAAAAUGUAAAGACUUAACUUGUCUACUCAUAUAUUUGCUGCCGGGGAACUAAUAAAGUGGAAGCAAUAAUGCUCAAGUUGGCUGCUUCUGAAGUGCACCUUAGUGCUAAUUCCUUCAUAAACAUGAAGAGGCUCAGAAUUUUCUUAGCUCACAAUGUUUCCCACUCGGGGGAUCUUAUAUACUUUCCCGCUUAAUUAAGAUGGCUCAAAUGGCCCGAUUAUUCUCCACCAUCGGUGCCAUUCAAUACAAACCUCGGGAAACUUGUAAGUUUAGACUUGAGUAAAAGCAGCAUCCGCAUAUUGGGGAAGGAAUUCAAGCUUUUUAGACAUUUGAGGUGUGUUACUUUCAGCCACUGUAAAUUGCUGAGUGAAACUCUCGAUGUAUUGUCCCUGCCAAAUCUUGAGAGUUUGGAUCUCCAAGGGUGCACCAAUCUUGUUAAGGUUCAUCAGUCUCUUGAGCGUCUUGACAAGCUCAUAUAUUUGAACUUUCUGAAUUGGUCCAAUCUUAGCUGUUUCCCUAGCAGUUUGAAGUCGAUAUCUCUUGAAAAUCGGGUAUUUAGAGGUUGCUCAAAGGUUUCAAGGUUUCCAGAUAUUCUUGUACCAGUGAAACGUCUAAGAACACUUGCACUUUAUGAGACAGCCAUUUGUGAGGAGAAAAUAUUAGAUACCUUAACAGCUC